rnacentral:rRNA from 1 species
AUACGGAGGGUGCAAGCGUUGUUCGGAAUCACUGGGCGUAAAGGGCGCGCAGGCGGUUUGGUAAGUCAGAUGUGAAAGCCCAUGGCUCAACCAGGGAAGUGCGUUUGAAACUGUCAGACUUGAGUACUAGAGGGGAAAGUGGAAUUCCCGGUGUAGAGGUGAAAUUCGUAGAUAUCGGGAGGAAUACCGGUGGCGAAGGCGACUUUCUGGCUAGAUACUGACGCUGAGGUGCGAAAGCGUGGGGAGCAAACAGGAUUAGAAACCCGAGUAGUCC